UCUGGUAAAGGUGCUGGCUGGCAGCCUCCCGAGCCUGCAGAUCCUCCACAACGCUUGUCUCCAUAAAGGACCAGAUUUCCUGAUGUCUGCUGAGCACCUCUGAGCUUGCCGCAGACAUGAUUGUAACCCAUUUCCCUCUCAUUGUUGAGGGUGCCACUGGCACAGCCCUGUCCCAGCCUCUGUAGGGGAGGCAGCCGGGUGGGAGAGGUGGUGGGGAGGACAGGACUUAAUGUGAAAUGCUUAUAAUAUAAUGACAUUAUACAAACCUGGCAGAUGUGGAUCGUGGAAUGACUUCUUCGGAAUGGUCUGAUUACUUUUAGAUUAGCAGAUGAAGUAAUCAGUGUAACAGGCCACACCUAUCCUUUUUAUUCCUGGCCAUCUGAAAACCCCGAUAGUUGGCAGUGGCUCCCCUCUGUCACUGGGGAGGCAGUAGGGGAGAGAAGAGAGUAGAGAAUGCACUGAGAGCAGGACAGGGGCACACCAGGGCAGUUCUGGCAAAGCUGAACGAAGCACUGAAGGAUAACAACAUAAGCACUUAUGUUAAAGUAUUUAAAGGGUUCUGCGUUUCUUAAAAUGAACUAAGGUUGUUUGGGUAAUAACCCAAGCACUGUUUACAUAGAAAGCUGUUCUCGGAUUUAAUGGGAAACAUAUCUGGUUUUGAUUUCUGAAAGUAUUUGUUAGCAAAAUUGCUGCCAGGAGACCAAGCCAGUCCUGGAAUGCAAGGAAGUAGGGCUCUUGGUUUUCUAGAAAUGAGGAGUGCUGCCCAAGGGCAGGCCUGGAGAGCAGUCAUCUGGAGAUUGAUCCCAUUACAGUCCAGGAGGUGGGCGUGGCUCACAGGGAACUCAUGUUAACCCUUAACUCGGAAAACCUGGAACUGCAUGGAAGACCUGGCCAGCUUGGAAUGGAAGGGUUGGCCUGGCUUGGAUUUUCUAUAAUAAUUAUGGCUACCUUGCUCCUAACGUUCUUCAUUUCAGCACGGAGGAAACUAUAUGUAAUCAAUUAAGAUCAUAGCCUCGGAAUUAGAGAGACCUGGUUCAGAUCCCACGUCCCCCACUUGUCUUAGUUCAGAGGUUCUCGAUCUUGACUGUAUGUUAGAAUCACGCAGGGAGCUCUCAAACUCCGCACACCCAGGCUGCAUCCUAGAGCAAGUUAUAAUCGCUGGGAGUAGAGCACAGAUGUGGGUAUUUUUUGAAAGUAUCCCCCUGCCCCAGGAACGAAUAGCCAUAUUGGGAAUUAAUGGUCAGGUGAGACCAUGGAGAAGUUGACUAGCUCAGUAGCUGUGCUUCCUCAUCUGUGAAGUGAGGAAAUAUUAUCUAACACGUUCAAAGGCUGUUAAAUCGAGUUAUUUACCCAUAUCUUCAGAAAAAAAUCACCACUUCUACUGUCGUGAUAAACAACCUGCUUCCCUAUUUAUAAUGGUCUGGCCCUCUAGCAACUUCAGCGCGAAAUUAUAGCUAAUUUGCCUACAAAAGUCAGGUGGUCAUAAUAAUCUGGCCACUCAGUGUAUGGUUCCUGGGAAGAUAAAAAGAGAUAGUAAGUGCCAGGUGCUCAGUCCAGUGCCCAGCACAUAGCAAAUGCUCCAGAAACAGCACCCUCAUCAGUACUCAGCUUCACCAUAAAUGAAAACUCCUGAAAUGCAGAUGGGAUAUUUGUCACAUCCAUGAAAAAAGGCUCUGGGGGCAGUUUUGCAUUUUUUUGAGACAGACAGACAGACAGACUGUCCUCUCUCCUGCAGUGGUGUUGCUGAAGAGGGUUCAGAGUCGGAGCCCCUGCUGGGUAGGUCUGCUCAGGGCAGCCAUGCUGCACUGUCUGACUUCCUCAGAUGCAGGCACACCCAACUCCAUUUGCAGUGACAGAGACAGGUGAUCUUUUAUUUUCAAUCUUUAAUUUCUGAGGUCCUCCCUCUCCUUUGCCUAGGUAUUGCUGCUUGAAUUGAUCCGAUUAUAGAGUGUCCAGAUAAUAAAAUAUGAGUAAAGUUCGGGUAAUCUAUCUCUAAUCUUCUACCUAAAACAUCUGGAACAGUUCAUUCCCAAGUGAUUGCUGAGAUGGUGUCUCUAGAAGUCAAGAAUGCAGACUGGCCUCUGUGCCUAUGAUUCUGUUCUCAUUCACUGAUGUGAAAUCAUGUCUACUUAUGAGAUAGUAAUCUGUGUCUGUAUCAUCUCCAAAAAUAUUAAUUAUAACAAAUUAAUACCUUGUAUCUGGGUUAGCAAUUCUGCUCUCAGAACAUCACCACUCCCAACUUCACCUUAGUACCAAUUCCCACACAUCUGUAACCCCAGAGCCUGGUUCAGGGGGUUAUGCUGAGGCCAGAUGUUCACCACUGUGCUGAGGUAUGUGUGGGACACUGCAAUGAUGAGGGCUCAUUCCCAGAGUGAAAUAGAGUUUAUAGCACCUCCGUGAGGCUGCGAGAAACCACGAAUGCAUGGUCUUCAGAACUCAGGAGCUCUGGGUUAGGAUCCUAGGUCAGUACUUGGACACUGAGCCUCAGUUUCCUCAUCUGUAAAAUGGUAACAGUGGUGCUCAUUUCCCAGGGUGGUAUGUGGUAAAGGUUAAAAUAAUAUAAAUAAUAUAUAUGUCUUGUCCAUGCUAAGUGCUCAGUAGUGUAGAUUAAUAUAUUAAUAUUAUGUCCAACGUGCAUAAUGUAUUUCAUAUACAAUGUUAUAUAUUAUAAUUAAUAUGUUAUCAUUAAGAGACAAGUCAUUCAUGUUUUACAAUUAAAAUUUUUUCGCCCUCUUUUUGAUAAGGUAUAAUUUUAUAUUCAUAGAUGGUACUGAUUUUUCUCUGAGGCUUGGGAACUUGUCUCAGGGAGUUGCAAGAUAUGAUAAAAGUCUGUGAGGGAUUGCAAGCAGUUCUCCUUGUGAAAAAGUGACUUUAGGAGGAAAAUACAAGACUCUCCUGGACACGGCAGACACAGUUCUGGAUUGGAACUUUGCAUGAACACAAAGCCUUUGACCGGAUGUCACCUAAAAUGAUCCUGCUUUAUAUUUCUCAGGCUAGCCAAGCCUUUUACAAAAGUAACCUGAUAGCUUAUCAAUAGUUCCUGAUUGACCAAUGGAGAAAAUAAACCACAGAAUGAUUAUGGCCCAACAAUUCAGCAAGAGCAACUGAAGUGAAAAUCACACCCACCUUUCACCCCUCUAGCUCCACACCUGGGGUUUAUUGGGCCCUCGUGGCACAACUGUUUACCGCAGCAUUAGUUAUAACAUUGCAUACCCGGAAACACCACCAGUGUCUAUGUACAGGGGAGUGGGUGUGUGAAUUGUGCCAUGAUAACACAGUGUAAUCUUAUGCAACUUGUAAAACUAUCAUUUGAAUUUGCAUAUGCUGAUAUGGAAAUAUAUCCAAGAUAUAUUAAGUGGAAAAUGUAGAUGUGAAAUAGAAUGUACAGCAUGACCCCACUUGGGUUAAUUAUUUUAAAAAGAUAUUCCUGAAAGUUACAUAAGAAACUGUUUACAAUUAUUUUAUUUAGGGAAUGGCCAGGGUUGGAGAGGGGAAAACUUAUUUUCACUUUAUAUUCUACUGUAGUGUUAGACUUUUAAAAAAGAACAUGUCUGUAUUUUGCUUUCAUUUUACAAUUAAAUUUUACUUACAUACUUUUAAAAUUUAA